AUCGCUUCUCGGCCUUUUGGCUAAGAUCAAGUGUAAUAGCUGAGUAGUAUUCCAUUGUGUAAAUGAAACACAUUUUCUGUAUCCAUUCUUCUGUCCUGGGACAUAUGGGUUGUUUCCAGCUUCUGGCUAUCACAAAUAAGAUUGCUAUGAACAUAGU
ensembl:snRNA LOC120096414 U2 spliceosomal RNA